CUGGGCGGCGGAGGGGAGGACGGCGCCUCGGUCGGCGUCUGCCCGAUAGAGCUCGGCGCCGGCGGCGAGGCGGGGGCGGGUACCGUGGCAUUGGGCGCCGGAGCUGGAGCGGUCUUCUGGGUCGGGGAUGGCGCGGGACGAGGAGGCGCCGAGGUCGCCGGAGGCUGCGCCAUGGGCGCGGGCAUCGUGGACGCGCCCGGUGCCUGCGCCGUCGUCAAGGCCAAGAGCAAGCCCAUUGCCACGGCCACGAGGUGGAGGCGCGCCAUUGGAUUGGAUCAGGAGGGGAGACGGUGGCGGCGACUGCGGUAG
rnacentral:misc_RNA from 1 species